rnacentral:rRNA from 1 species
AACGAACGCUGGCGGCAUGCCUAACACAUGCAAGUCGAACGAGACCUUCGGGUCUAGUGGCGCACGGGUGCGUAACGCGUGGGAACCUGCCCUUAGGUUCGGAAUAACUCAGGGAAAUUUGAGCUAAUACCGGAUAAUGUCUUCGGACCAAAGAUUUAUCGCCUUUGGAUGGGCCCGCGUAGGAUUAGCUUGUUGGUGGGGUAAUGGCCUACCAAGGCGACGAUCCUUAGCUGGUCUGAGAGGAUGAUCAGCCACACUGGGACUGAGACACGGCCCAGACUCCUACGGGAGGCAGCAGUGGGGAAUAUUGGACAAGGGGCGAAAGCCUGAUCCAGCAAUGCCGCGUGAGUGAUGAAGGCCUUAGGGUUGUAAAGCUCUUUUACCAGGGAUGAUAAUGACAGUACCUGGAGAAUAAGCUCCGGCUAACUCCGUG